rnacentral:misc_RNA from 1 species
UCCCCGUUCACCGGGGCAGUCCCCUCAGAGUGCCCGGCAUGACCCGGUAGCAACAGAGGGCGAGGGUUGCGCUCGUUGCGGGGUAACCGUGUUUCCACGAUCGUUGACCAGCCGUUCGAGCCCAGGUAAGGUUCUUCGCGUUGCGUCGAAUUGAACCACAUGCUCCACCGCUUGUGCGGGCCCCCGUCAAUUCCUUUGAGUUUCAGCCUUGCGACUGUACUCCCCAGGCGGCAUAUUUAACGCGUUAGCUCCGGCACAGACAGAAUGAACUGCCUACACCAAAUAUGCAUCGUUUAGGGCGUGGACUAC